UACGUAGGGUGCAAGCGUUGUCCGGAAUUAUUGGGCGUAAAGAGCUCGUAGGCGGUUUGUUGCGUCGGCUGUGAAAUCCCGAGGCUCAACCUCGGGUCUGCAGUCGAUACGAGCAAACUAGAGUGUUGCAGGGGAGACUGGAAUUCCUGGUGUAGCGGUGAAAUGCGUAGAUAUCAGGAGGAACACCGGUGGCGAAGGCGGGUCUCUGGACAACAACUGACGCUGAGGAGCGAAAGCGUGGGGAGCGAACAGG
rnacentral:rRNA from 1 species